UACAGAGGGUGCGAGCGUUGUUCGGAAUUACUGGGCGUAAAGCGCGCGCAGGCGGCCCUUUAAGUCUACCCGUGAAAUGCCGGAGCUCAACUCCAGAACUGCCUUUGAUACUGGCGAUCUCGAGUCCGGGAGAGGUGAGUGGAACUGCGAGUGUAGAGGUGAAAUUCGUAGAUAUCUGGAGGAACACCGGUGGCGAAGGCGGCAUCCUGGACCGAUACUGACGCUGAGGAGCGAAAGCCAGGGGAGCAAAGCGGG
rnacentral:rRNA from 1 species